rnacentral:lncRNA from 1 species
AGUAUAUUUCAAUUGUAUAUCAAUAAAGUUGAUGAAAAGUAAACAGAUUAGAAACUCAAUUUACCUCUUCAUUGACUUUAGGCUCUUUUGGUCCUCCUCUUCCUGGAGAAAAUACAUGAAUGCCUUUGACUUUUGGAAUGGGAGCAGAGUUUUGAACUACAAAGAAAAACCUAAGUUCGUAUCUUCAAAUUUUGCACCCUUUAUUCUGAUGAAAGAUAGAGGUAAUAUGAGGAGAGACCCCUUUCCAAAGGUUUUUGAAUCAAAGAGCCAGAAAGUACUGAUCUAAUCUGUCACUCACCCUUUCUGAAGAAAUGAUGAGUACAUAAAGUAAGCAAGGGUACUUAUUUGGUGAAUUUCAUUCUCAACCUCUCCUGGCCUCCUCAUUCUUCCAAAGCUCUGAAAUCUCAACCCUCAAGAUACACACACACAUAUACAUGUAUACAUACAUGUGGAUAUAGCCUCACAUAUCCUGGAGAACCAUUUGGGUUAGCAAACUCCUCUUAUGGAGUACAAACACAACUUAUUACUCAAUAGUGGUUUCUUUCCAAAGGAGUCUGGAUUUGGAGGUUGAAAGAAAGAAGAACAGAGGAAAAAGAAAAAAAAUUGAGCUUUGUAUCAACAUGGAUCCAAUUUCUGCUCUCCUGUGUCCAUCCUUCCAUCUCCUUCUCUGCCUUUACUACAAGAACUCUGUCACACUACACUUGGAUAACUCUGGAAACUGGGCUGUAAACAGUUUGCAGAACUGGAGAGGUGGCAGACAGAGAAUUAUGAGGAGCUGGAGGAUGAAAAGGAGUCAAGAGAUGAUGAAAGGUUGGUGAAUGAUGGAGAAUUGGGAAAUGUGAAAUUGUUUGUUUUAUUUGUAGAGGAUGACAUAUUUCAAUGGAAAAGUCAUAGAAUCUGUGGUUAAGUUUGGGUAAAAUCUCAAAUGCUAGAGAUCCAACAUUAGGAUUAGCCUCCAGGAUUGAAGGUGGUGGCUCUUGGAAGCCACAGGAGAAGAAGGCUCUGAGCUCCUCAAGUAAAUUAGUAAAGUAAUUACCAUGCUGCUCAUUAAGGCCUUAGUACAAAGGUUAUUGAAUUAUUAGUAAUUUAUGGCAUGUAGCUUUAUAAUGCACUUAAAUCAUCUCUGGAAACUGUGUUUUUAAUGUUCUUGACUAUUUCCUUCUUGAUGGCAGUGGUGGUACUAUUUAUUUCUCAGGGUCUUUUUACCACACUUCAUACGGUGUUUGGCUCACAGAAGGCAUUUAAGGCAUGCUAAUUAACACUUCUUUCCACUGAAACUCGGGUUCUUCUUUCUGCCCGAAUUAUUUCUACUGUGUGUGCUUUCUCUGAGAAGAUUGUGAGCUUAUUGAAGGCAGGGACCAGGCCUUCUACUUACUUUUGCUUUCCUUUCAGGCUAGCAGAGUGGUAGGCCUAGAGGGGAGCUCAUUUAAUACUUGAUGAUGGAUUGAAUUAUUGGCUCAAAAUUUCCUUGAGGUUCUGACUGGGAAAUUAAAGCUUUAGUCUGUCUAAUAAAACAAAACAAAAACUGACA